GACAGAGGUGCCGAGCGUUAGGCGGAAUCACUGGGCUUAAAGCGUGUGUAGGCGGGUCGUUAAGUGCCUUGUGAAAUCCCACAGCUCACCUGUGGAACUGCUUGGCAUACUGGCGAUCUUGAGCCACUUAGGGGCAACCGGAACAAACGGUGGAGCGGUGAAAUGCGUAGAUAUCUGGAGGAACACCGGUGGCGAAGGCGACAUCCUGGACCGGUAUUGACGCUGAGGCGCGAAAGCCAGGGGAGCAAACGGG
rnacentral:rRNA from 1 species